CUUUAUUGGAGAGUUUGAUCCUGGCUCAGGACGAACGCUGGCGGCGUGCCUAAUACAUGCAAGUCGAGCGCCAGGGGUUCUCCCUUAGGGGAGACCUCCUGGAGCGGCGGACGGGUGAGUAACACGUAGGCAACCUGCCUGUAAGACCGGGAUAACUACCGGAAACGGUAGCUA
rnacentral:rRNA from 1 species